rnacentral:rRNA from 1 species
GACGAACGCUGGCGGCGUGCUUAACACAUGCAAGUCGAACGGGCCUUGUCCCCUUUUUUUUUGGGGGUGGGGUUAGUGGCGAACGGGUGAGUAACACGUGAGUAACCUGCCCCUCACUUCUGGAUAACCGCUUGAAAGGGUGGCUAAUACGGGGUUUUCUGGCCUGCUCGCAUGGGUGGGUUUGGAAAGAUUCGACCGGUUUUGGUUGUUUUGGUGGGGGUUGGGCUCGCGGCCUAUCAGCUUGUUGGCGUGGUGAUGGCCUGCCAAGGCGUUGACGGGUAGCCGGCCUGAGAGGGUGGGCGGUCACAGUGGGACUGAGACACGGCCCAGACUCCUACGGGAGGCAGCAGUGGGGAAUAUUGCACAAUGGGCGCUAGCCUGAUGCAGCGACGCCGCGUGAGGGAUGGAGGCCUUCGGGUUGUGAACCUCUUUCGCCAGUGAAGAAGGUCCUGCUCUUUGUGGUGGGGUUGACGGUAGCUGGGUUAAUGAAGCGCCGGCUAACUACGUG